rnacentral:rRNA from 1 species
ACGGAAGGCAGCAGUGAGGAAUAUUGGUCAAUGGACGGAAGUCUGAACCAGCCAAGUCGCGUGAAGGAUGAAGGUAUUAUGUAUUGUAAACUUCUUUAGCAGUGGAGUAAUAAGGGGAUCGUGAUCCCUGAUGCAAGUACACUGAGAAUAAGGAUCGGCUAACUCCGUGCCAGCAGCCGCGGUAAUACGGAGGAUCCGAGCGUUAUCCGGAUUUAUUGGGUUUAAAGGGUGCGCAGGCGGCUUUUUAAGUCAGUGGUUAAAUCGUGACGCUCAACGUCAUCACGCCAUUGAUACUGGAGAGCUUGAUUGCGGUCGAGGUUUGCGGAAUUCGUUGUGUAGCGGUGAAAUGCAUAGAUAUGACGAAGAACACCGAUUGCGUAGGCAGCAGACCAGGCCGUAAAUGACGCUCAUGCACGAAAGUGCGGGGAUCGGACAGGAUUAGAUACCCUGGUA